rnacentral:tRNA from 4 species
GUCGGGGUGGCGUAAUUGGUAGCCGCGUUUGACUUAAGAUCAAAUGCUCGAAAGAGCGUGAGAGUUCGAGUCUCUCCCCCGACA